rnacentral:rRNA from 1 species
CCUACGGGAGACAGCAGUGAGGAAUAUUGGUCAAUGGACGAGAGUCUGAACCAGCCAAGUAGCGUGAAGGAUGACUGCCCUAUGGGUUGUAAACUUCUUUUAUAUGGGAAUAAAACAGGGUAUGCAUACCCUCUUGUAUGUACCAUAUGAAUAAGGAUCGGCUAACUCCGUGCCAGCAGCCGCGGUAAUACGGAGGAUCCGAGCGUUAUCCGGAUUUAUUGGGUUUAAAGGGAGCGUAGGUGGAUUGUUAAGUCAGUUGUGAAAGUUUGCGGCUCAACCGUAAAAUUGCAGUUGAAACUGGCAGUCUUGAGUACAGUAGAGGUGGGCGGAAUUCGUGGUGUAGCGGUGAAAUGCUUAGAUAUCACGAAGAACUCCGAUUGCGAAGGCAGCUCACUGGACUGCAACUGACGCUGAGGUGCGAAAGCGUGGGUAGCAAACAGGAUUAGAUACCCGUGUAGUC